AAGCAAAUAAUAUUUAAUUUUCAUAUAAUCCUUGAAUAUGGCAGGGAGUAUCUACUAGAAACCUUAAAUUUCUAUCUAUGAGAAGCUAUAAAUAUAGG
rnacentral:ncRNA from 2 species